rnacentral:tRNA from 1 species
CACCCGAUGACUGAAAGUAAGUAUAGGUCUUUUAAACCUAGAAUAGUAUUAGCGCCUACUUCUGGUGA